GAUGCUUAAAGGAUGUAGGCUGAAAUAGAAGAAUUUACACAAAUGUGAUUUAUGCUUCUUGCAAGCUGCCUUUAUAAGAAUUCUGAGCUUUCAUAUUUGCAGAUCUCAGGUUAGUGGGUUUUACAGGCUAUUCAGCUAAUUCAGCCCCAUCUUUCAAACAUCUGUUGCCUCUGAAAAGUUCUCAGUGUAAAGAGGAAACUGUUAUUUAUAAGAAGAAGCUGUCAAAGAUCAGCUAUGUUCAACAAUCUAAAGCAUCGCUUACGUACAUCAGCACUAAACUAUGCUCAUUUGGAUAGCAUGAAUGGCUAAUUUUAGCUUAAAAUUGGAAACAAUUAUGGGUUCAGGAAGAAAAGUAGGGCUGUGUGUCAUUAGUAAUUGAUUUCUUUUGUGGAAAAGCUUGAAAUGAGCAGUUAAGAAAAAAAUACCAACACAACAUUAAGUGAUGCAACCUGUCUUGUGCAAUAUGCAGAUGUUUCUCAGAUUUGUGUCUGUCUCAGGUGGAUGGAUACUUCUGGUGUCAUUCCCUCUCUUCCCUCUGCCUCUCUAUAAUACUUUCUGCAUCUUUCAGCUGCUGCUGUAGAAGUCUCAACUGGGAACAUUGUGCAACUCAUGUGCACAAGAGGAGAGUGGUAUGCCAUGGCAUAGGAAGCUGCGAAUCACUUGUGUCUCAUUGCAUUACCUGGCUGGGAGGCUGCAAGGCCUCAAGAAGGACACAGUACAGCUUGUUUGACAGACAGGACUGAGGAGCCCACACUACAGUUCCCACAGGGCAUGGCAGUGGUUUGAGAUGGACUAUUCAUGUUUCUGAAGGACGAAAUAUUUCACUUGGAAAUGUAAGGAUAUCUUGAGAGUUACUCUUUUCAGUCAAAACCUGCCUCUCUUUACUGGCUUCUGGGUGAUUGUUCUGGA
rnacentral:lncRNA from 1 species